GUUACAGUUAGCUCAGUUGGUUAGAGCGUGGUGCUAAUAACGCCAAGGUCGCGAGUUCGACCCUCGUAGUGAUCA